UCUCCGUAGGUGAACCUGCGGAGGGAUCAUUACUGAGUGAGGGCUCACGCCCGACCUCCAACCCUUUGUGAACCCAUCUUGUUGCUUCGGGGGCGACCCUGCCGGCACUCGGUCGCCGGGCGCCCCCGAAGGUCUCCAAACACUGCAUCUUUGCGUCGGAGUUUAAAACAAAUUAGACAAAACUUUCAGCAACGGAUCUCUGGGAUCUGGCAUCGAUGAAGAACGCAGC
rnacentral:misc_RNA from 1 species